GGCUCUAUCACCGACUGGCUUUGGGUCUGCAGGCAAGUCAUUUAACCUCUCUAUACCUCUGUUUCCUCAUUUAUAAAAUGAAGAUCAUGAUAGUUCCUACCUCAUGGACUUGCAAGAGUUAACUGUAACUGUAAAAUACUUAGUGCAAUUUCUGGCAAAUGGUUAGUGUUCAAGAAAUGUCAACUAUUACUAUUAUGUGACCUAGGAAGAUGUGUUUGCCACAUCUGUUCCCCUACCUACACACACACACACACACACACACACACACACACACAAACACACACACACACACACACAUAUUUUCUUCCCCACUUUGUGCUAUUUUAUUCCUUAAUAAAUACUUGUUGAAUGUGUUAUGAAUGGACCAUUUGCUUUCAGUUUUCAGUUCAAUAAACCUUAAUUAAACCCACACCAUGUACCAGACACUAUGGUAAUGAGACAACAAAAUGAAUAAAAUGUAGUCUCUGUUCUUCAUCUUACAGCGUAGGAGAGACUUAAUUAAUAACUUCACAUUUGCACACGUUGACAGGGAAGGGGCACUUGAGAAUCACUGGAGACUUCCUGGAGGUGGCAAUCACUGACUUGAAUCUUGAACCAUGUGUAAGAGUUGGGCAGGUGAAGAAUGACACCGGACUCUUUCCUGCUUUGGCAUAUGCCCUGAGUGCUUGGAAAUCCCUAAAUGGACCAGAGCAAGGACACUCCGUAGCGGCUGAACACGAAGACGGCACUCCACUGGGAUGACCUUUGAUUCUUGGCAGAGGAUAGCGAUUUCACUGAGGGAAUUCACUCCGGUUGAUGAGUCUCCAGUGUUUGUCGAGAUCUCUGUGGAAACAAACAUUCAGAGGGUCUUUGUGGAAGAGUCCAGAAAUAAUUGAGUAAGCCAGGAGACCCUUAUUCCACCCCCUGCAAAAAAUGUCAGGUUACACUUUCUUUUAAGGGCUCCUUAAUUGAUGGCCUUGUACAAAUAAUUACCAUUUCCCAGCACUUUCCCUUUUGCCGAGAAAAAUACAAAAGGAAAGUCAACCGAAUCAAGACAUAAAUUCAUUUUUACAGCUGAAUAAGCUUUGUCUUUGGUUGUUUUAAAAAUGAAAUAAAUGGGAAAAUAUUUGUUAGAGAAUAAUAAACACGCCCAGGUAUUUGCUGCUCUUCUCGGGCCAGGCUGGGAUUGAAGUGGCUCGGUAAGACCACCUGUGUUUCUUGGUGCAAACCCAGCAGAGCUUCAGAAUUUGUAUAGUUGGUCUCAGUCCAGCGACCUGGCUACAUUCUUGGAUCUCUUACUCAACAUGAGGCAUCAAGAUCACUGGAAACUUUAACAAAAACAUCAACAACUGGAAGAGCCAGUUAGCCUAUGGUCUGACCCCCAGCCUGCACACCCUCACAUCAAUCUACUUCUAAUCUUCUGGGAAAUUAGUUCAGUGUUCAAGGCAGGAGAAGGGGCAACCUGAGGGUCCAGAUGCUCAGUCUCCCUUAGGAAAUGAAGAAUCUACAAUCACCCCAAAGCGUACAUUUAGAGGGUUGCGUUUCAGUCUGCUUUCCACUUGGCCAAAUAGAUGCCUUCAUAAUAACUCUAAAAGCAUCGAAGAAAAAGCAGCACACUCUGUAGGAUUCCACAAUGGAAUCCAAUAAAAGAAACAUAACUCAAAAUCGUUUCAGAAGCAAUUAAUACGUUGCUACUCAGAAGCAGCUCCUCAAGGAAAUUUGCUCUUCAGCCCAAUAAUCUAAAACACAUCCUGAAAACAGUAGCUGAGGAGGAAGGAAGACGAGGACGAAUCUUAUUUUCUACUUGUCAUUUUGGUACACUUCACAAUAUUUGGAUACUUUCUGAAUCAGCUAUUGUAGAUGUUUUUAUCCAAGUUCCCAAAGGUCUACUUAGUUUAACUACCUUUACCUAAAGAUGGCAAAAAGGCCACGUGACCUUUAACAGUAGCACUGUUGAGCCAGCCAGCUUUGGUCUUAGCACCAUCUUCCAGAACCCAGUUAUGUGACUGUGGGCAGGUAAAUUGAACCCUUUUCGCUCAGUUUUCACAUAAAAAUGAAAAGAUAGGAUAAGAUUCUGGUUUCCCACAGUGUGUCUCAUGAAGAAACAUGAGAUUUACAUGGAGGAAGAUUUUUGCUUUUAUUUAGAAAUACUGUAC